GCUGAUAUGAAAUUCCCAGGUUCUGAGAAACACUUGGCCCAGUUGUCCAAACUUCUGGAUUUGCUGUUUUGGGUGACCUUAAGAUUUGACUCUAGGGUUGACGGGAUCUUCGAAGAUGCCCUUGGUUCCUGAUCUUCUUAAUGACCAGGAGGAAAACAGCGCAGCCUGGAGAGGCCAGUGAAGGAAGAAGAGAGGAAAUGACAGAGCACACUUUGGGGGAUGACAGAAGUCUACAGAUGAAAAUAAUCACACCUUGGGGAUCUCGGAGGAUCAGUAAACACUGCCCAUUACUCACCAGUUGUAAGAUCUCCCAGCACUAAUCCACCUUGGCAGCCAGAAGGACAUUACCAAAUGACUACACUGCCUGCUGGCUUCUUCCAGACUCCUGGCUGGGAGAGCAAACAAGUGAAUAUCCACUCUGGAAGAUGGAAUUGUUUCCAGUAGAGUCCAUCUCAAGGAGGUCCUGCAGGCAAAGCAACCAGGAUUUGAAAUGUGAUUUUUCACUUUUGUUGUUGUUAUUGAUCCAUUCCAACAAACACUGGAACAUCUGAAUUCUGUCUUGGAAGCAGUUUUCUUAAGGUUUAACUGUAUACACAUCGGAUCUGUGGCCACCAUUUUCUCUUUCUGUAGUAAUUUUAAAGGACGAUGGGAAUGCCAAAACCUGUCUCUGUUGUGUUGGCCCAGAAGAGUGAGAACUUGGGUUUUAGCAUUUGUAAAUUUAGUACUUUAUCCUCAGUGUGGAAGGUGACUGGAGAAAAGUUCACUUGUAAAAAGGAAAACAAAACAAAAUAUUUCUUCCUUUACUGAUGGGAUAAAGGUUUGAACUACCAAUAGCAAGGAAAAUACAAAGAGGGCUCAUUCUAGAAGCCAGAAGACUGCUUUGGCAGUACAGAGUUCUUAAAUGGCUGCCUCCUCUUCAGAUGGCUCUUGGUGCAAUUGUUGAGAAACAGAAAACUCUUGUUAUUAAUGAACAAGCUGGGGAAACGUUCACUAGGAUAUUCAAGGAGGUUUGUGGUAGUGUGCUUAACUCCUAAGUAGCCCUUGUCCUUGUUAGCGCAGAGGGCAUUUGCUCUGGAGAGGAGACACUAAAUGGACAGCUCACACUGAGCAUAAAGAGAAGGGCUUCCCCAGCGGCUACAGGCAGCGGAUGGACUGUAGCAGAAUGUUUACAGGCAGACAGUGAUCCACCAGUCAGUAGCCUGUGGAGACCUAAGACUACAACCAGCCUGUAGAAAAAGAAUAUUCACUACUCGUAUUCCUCAGGGCUGGGAAGAAUGUCUUUGUCCCUCAUUUUGUUCGGCAGCCAUUGGUUGGUGAGCUUGGUAAGGAGUUAUCUUCUGCAGAGCUCUUUAGAAAGUCAAGCGGCAGAGGUGGUGGUGGGGAUUGUGUCUAUUGAGGGCUCUGGAUUUCCUGUCUAUUCUGAAUUCCCAGGGUAUUUUAUCUAUCUAUCUAUCUAUCUAUCUAUCUAUCUAUCUAUCUAUAACAUUAAGCCUCUUCAGGAGACAUAGAGACAGACCAGGCCUAGUAGGGUAAAUCUGCUUAACAUUGGCUCCACGGCCAUGUUGGAGGGACAAAGAUCUGGUUCCUCAGAGAACUGGAGUGUGACAGAUGGACAAGAAAACACUAGAGCAGGCAUUGUUACAUUGCAGAUGCAGGGAAGGAUUUCCCCAAAGCUCAUUUUUAGAAUUUGUGAUGUGUGG
rnacentral:lncRNA from 1 species